rnacentral:rRNA from 1 species
UGGGGAAUCUUGGUCAAUGGGCGCAAGCCUGAACCAGCGAUGCCGCGUGAGUGAUGAAGGCCUUCGGGUUGUAAAGCUCUGUGGGGCGGGACGAAAAAGCAGUUUCUAAUAGGAGCUGAAUUGACGGUACCGCCUUAGCAAGCACCGGCUAACUCUGUGCCAGCAGCCGCGGUAAGACAGAGGGUGCAAACGUUGCUCGGAAUCACUGGGCGUAAAGGGCGUGUAGGCGGGACGGUAAGUCGGGCGUGAAAUCCCUGGGCUCAACCCAGGAACUGCACUCGAAACUACCAUUCUUGAGUGUCGGAGAGGAAAGCGGAAUUCCUGGUGUAGAGGUGAAAUUCGUAGAUAUCAGGAGGAACACCAGUGGCGAAGGCGGCUUUCUGGACGAUAACUGACGCUGAGACGCGAAAGCGUGGGGAGCAAACAG